AUCUGUAAAAAAAACAAAAUAAAACAAACAAACAAACAAACGCCCGAGUAUAUAAAGUUGGGAGCUCAGGAGGCAGAGGCAGGCAGAUUUCUGAGUUUGAGGCCAGCCUGGUCUACAAAGUGAGUUCUAGGACAGCCAGGGCUAUACAAAGAAACCCUGUCUCGAAAAAAAAUACAAACAAAAAUAAUAAUAAAUAAGAUAAAUAAAAAAUAGAUAAAAAAAUAAAGUUGGGAGAAGAAAGAGGAGUAUGGGGAAAGUUUGAGGAAAUGGAGUGGGCAUGGAUUUGAUCCAAACACAUUAUUUUCAUGAAUAAAGUUCUCAAACAGCAUCUUAGGGUUUCUAUUGCUAUGACAAAAAACACCCUGACCUAAAAGCAAGUUGGGAAAGAAAGGAUUUAUUGAGUGUACACUUCUAGAUCAUAGUCCAUCAUCAGAGGAAGUUAGGACAGGAAUUCAAGCAGGGCUGGAACUUGGAGGAGUUGAUUCAGAGGCCAUGGAGGGGUACUGCUUACUAGCUUGCUUUCCAUGGCUGGCUCAGCCUGCUUUCUUAUAGCAGCCAGAGCCACCAGCCCAGGGAUGAUACCACCCACAGUGGGCCGGGUCCUUCUCCAUUGAUCACUUAUUGAGAAAAUGCCUUACAACUAGAUCUCAUGGUAGCAUUUCCUCAAAUGAGGCUCCUUCCUCUCUGAUGACUGUAACUGGUAUCAAGUUGCCAUACAAAAUGAGGCAGUACAAGUGACCCCUUGUGAACUUGACACACAAACAUAUCAAUAUUAAACUUCAACCCUUCCUUUCAUAUUUAUCACCAAGAUUUCACAUUAAAAACAUAAAUAAUUUUAAAAGUUCCAUAGUUGUUACAAGUUAAAACACAUUAAAAUUCCAGACUCUUUAAAAUAUCCGAUCUCUUUUCAAAGUUCAAAAUCCCAAAACUCUUUUAGAAUUUCAAUGUCUUUCAGCUGUGGGCUCCUGUAAAAAUUAACUUAAAUAUCUUCUUCUUUGGGGAAGAACCAGGACACAGUCACAAUCUAAACCAAACAAAACUAAAUUCCAAGAGUAUAAAUAAUUCAAAGUUCAAUGUCUGGGAUCCACACACUAUCUUCUGGGCUCUUCCAAAGGACUUGGGUCACUUCUCCACCUUCCCUUCAUAGGGAGUUAUUUGGGCUCACUUUCUUAGUGCUUUCUAGAAUGCUGGCAUGUCUGUGCCAUUCAGCAAAUUCUCCACAAAGCUUUCCUUCUUCCUCAAAUUUGAUUUAUUUUUAUUUCAUGUGCAUUGGAGUUUUGCCUGUGUGUAUGUCUGUGUGAGGGUGUCAGAUGCCCUAGAGCUGGAAUUAUAGACAGUUGUGAUCGGCCAUGUGGCUGUUAGGAACCCACAGGUCCUCUGGAUGAGCAGCAGCCAGUACUCUUAACUACUAAGCCAUCUCUCCAGCCGCACAUUUUUCUAUCUUACUAAGAUAAGUGUAUACAACACAAAAUAAAGCACAUAGCUUUCCCUAAACCACUCUUGGUAGAUUUUCCUAAGCAGAAACAUCAUUAGGUUACUACAGAUGCAGCCUGUCUGCUGCAGAUGUUUAGAACAUCUCAGGCAGAUUAGGGAUGUUAGUGCUUUCACUGUGUAUCCUUGUUACUCUCUGCCGUUACUCUCGCUACUAUCGAAGUAUGUUUUAGACAGCUUUAUGAAGUAAGCUCUGUUUGAGAGAGCCUGAGUCUUCCUGUGGCACGCUCCCAGCCCCCAACUCCCAGCUCCUAUCUCCAACCCCCAGCUCCCAGCCCCCAACUCCCAGCUCCUAUCUCCAACCCCCAGCUCCCAGCCCCCAAACCCCAGUCCCCAGCUCCUAUCCCCUAACCCCCAGUCUCCAGCCCCCAGCUCCUAUCCCCCAACCCCCAGCUCCCAGCCCCUAACCCCCAGCACCCAGCUCCUAUCCCCUAGCUCCCAACCCCCAGCUCCCAGAUCUCAGUGUCCUUUCAACCCUCAUUUAUCUCCAGCACUCAGCUCUCAGCAUUCCUUAUUCUUUACAAAGAAUCAUAGCUUUAGUGUUGUAGAGCAAGGGUCAUAAAUUCCAUCAAGCACACAUAGGCUCCAAAUUAAUAACAUUACACUAGGUGUGUGAGUAAUUCCAACCUUUCUACACAGGAAGCAGAUAAGCUCUGUUCCUCCCCACCAAGAGUGACACGGUGUUCAGCAGGACCUGUUAACCUUUUGCCAUGCUUCCAACUCUGAGUGUCAGCGUUCCUGCUUUUCAUCUGGAAGGACAUCCAGCUUUACUUCUUCCCAAGAUUAGACUGUCCCCUGGAAACACCACAUCGAAGACCUCUAAGUUGAGAGUUAAACUAUUUUAUUCUUUUUUGUUUUUGUUUUUUGUUUUGUAUUUUUCGAGACAGGGUUUCUAUGUAUAGCCCUGGCUGUCCUGGAGCUCACUCUGUAGACCAGCUGGCCUCGAACUCAGAAAUCUGCCUGCCUCUGCCUCCCAAGUGCUGGGACUAAAGGCGUGCACCACCACGCCCGGCUAUGAGACGUUUUCUUAUGGAAGAAAUGCUGCCUCUGUUUUUCUAUCACUGUUUCUCACUUUGGAAGGGGACCGAAAGUAGAAGCUGGUUUCAUUACGUUCCAUUACGUACUCUAAGCACAGAACUAUUUCGGUGAUUUACUGAACCUUCCUGAGAGUCCCAAGAGGAGUUUACAACCAUUGUGCCAGUCAGGUUUAUAGGUCACUUCGCUGAGGUAUCCAACUGACUCAGAACAAAGCUCAUAUUUGCUUUGCUGGUGAUGUAAUUUUUUACUGAGUUUUUAAAAUUCUUCUGCACCUCAACUGCGGCUUCACCUCUCUCUUUCCUCUCCUCCUGUUCUUCCCCCACCCACCUCCAUUUCCUCUUGAUCUACACAUCUGGUAAAAAAAAAAAAAAGCCUCCCGGAUGGACAAGCUAAUCUCCUCUGUUCCUUCAGAUUCUUCAGAGAACACAGACUCUACUCUUUUAGUUAUUCUUUCCCAGGUGUCCUCAGCUUUAUUGCAAGUCUAAAGUAUAGUUUAUUAUUACAGUAUUUGUCAUCGACAGGAAACAGGACCAUUGACACACACAGUACUGCAGACGCCUUAGUCAUAGACACACAUUUUCCUCCAUUCAUCUCAGCAAUGAUCCCUGGAACUUUUACUUAAGUAGAACUUUUAUUUAUUUAUUUAUUUAUUUAUUUAUUUAUUUAGCUUGUUUUUUUGUUGUUGAUUGUUUUUAAAGUUUAGCUUUUUACUUUUUUUUAAACUUUUACUUAAGGGGGGAAAAAAGCCUUUUUUUCCCCUUUUACAAAAACUGACACACCUUCUAUUGAAGUGCUAGAUAUUAUUUCUUGACAAUUUCACUAAAUAUUUACUUAAUUUUCUAUUGUUUUACAAAAAUAACAACAAAACAAAACUAAAAUAAGCAAGCAAACAAAACAAAACAAAAAACGCAAAAUCCAAAAAGCAAACAACAAUUCCUUACUGAAAUUAACUAUAUGUAAGACCAAAGUGUUCGGUGUUGGAUAGGGUCAGAUUGAAAAUACAAAACAAAAAUCAACAAAACCCAGUUCUGUGUCAGAGCCUGCCCAGAAUCAGCUCAGGCUCGCACAGGUGGAUGAGAGUAGAGGUGGAGGGGGUCUAUACCCAAUAGAACAUGGUAGUUCCCACAAUCAGCUCAUCAUUGUAUUCUAUUGGCAUGAAAAGACUGGAGAUGCUAAUGUAGACUGUACUGAUGUGACGAAAAUGUGAGAAGCUUCGAAAUGGAAACCCUGUCAUCGUUAACCCGUGACGAGUGUUUGGAUAGGAGAGAAAAUGUGAAGGCACUAAAUAGUAUAAAAAAUUAUCCACAUUUGUGAGAUCAAUGGCCUUGAGCAUGUUUGAAUUUGAGUAAAGCAAGUCAGGCUGCAUGUGUUCAAAAAUCCAGAUGUCGUUUGGGUUUUGAAAUUAAAUUUGAAAGUUUAAUAUUAUGAUUUCGAUUCUUUGGCUUGAAGGCCACGAUGUCCCUCCAUUUUUAGACAAUAGAUCUGCAAAUUCUGGUUAUGCUUUUGCAGUUAUAUAGAAAUGUAUGAAGCAUAGCAAUCGAUAUCUGAAUCAUACAUAGUGAUUGUGUAUUGUGUGUGUGUGUGUGUGUGUGUGUGUGCAUGUGUAUGUAAAUUAUAUAGAGGCCCGAAGUCUGGUCCUAAAUUGUUCUCUUCCUUAUUUUGUAAGACAGAGUCCCCCACUGACCUUGGAGUUCACCCAACCAGGCUAGAUUGGCUGGCCAGCGAGCCUGAGAGAUCCUCUUGCCUGCCUCUCUAUCACUGGGAUGACAGGUGUGUACUGUCAUCUGGCUUUUUAUAUAGAUGCCUAUGAUCUGAACCUGGGUCUACAUGCUUUCAUAACAAGCAGUUUUCUGCCUGACUGAGCCAUCACCCCAGCAACAGGGUAGUGAUUUUAGAUACUUCCUCAGCCCCAGCAUCCACACCCAUUUGCUAGGUGGACGAUUGAAAUACUCUAUUCAACAGAGAUUUGCAGGUUGGCUUUCUCUAGAGGCUUCAACCAGACACAAAACAGUAAGUGGUGUGCCUUUGAAAGGUUGAUGUUGGUCCUGGCCCCAACUAGCUCACUAGCUGGGAUCGUUUCCACCUACCAAAGUUGGAUCUACCCUUGCUGCCCGAGAGGGUAGACAACCCACCCAAAAGCUCUAUUUCAAAAGGCACAGAAAAUACUUAUCUUAUUUGAGUACUUUUCUAGUCACUGAAUUUUCCAAGGUCUGUUAACUGAAGGAUAAAAUGCAGGCAUGACUGGCUGUCAGCCUACCUGGCACUCUGUGCUUCUAAAUUAGGAGCAUGGCACACCAUGCUCCUGAGAAUUCCCAGAAGUCAGAACACUGAAUUCUGAGGUGACAUGAAUAACCUGCAGCUGGAUUGUCUUCAUGGCUCCUUCCUUGUGCUCCUUUUGCAUAGAGACCCUGGUGACAAGAGAGCUCACUGUCCAAUCUGAGGUAGUGUGUUAACCAAUAACAAUUAAUUGAUAGUUUUCUGCUAUAUAAGUGGUUGUUUGCAUAAAAUAAGGCAGACAGUGUUCCCUAACCAUCUCCAGAGAGGUUAAUCUCUGUGCUCUUUACCAACCCUGUGGGCAUGGUAGUCUUGUUAGGAGAUGCCCUGGUGACUGUUGUGGUUAGAAACGGAUAAAGAGGUAUUAAGAUAUGUUCUCUGGGGGGUGUGGUGACAACGACAGUUAACAUUUCUGUAAUCUUUGUUUUAAUAUUUGACAACUUUACUCUUUUUAAAUAUCCGUAUUAAGACCAUAAGAUCCAUAAAAUAUUUUUAAAGUUAACAACCAAGCUUGAUCAUUUAAUAAAAAUGUUACACUCCAAAUGUUCUGAGUGGUUGGAACUUAAUUUCUUAAUUGUAACAGCAAAACGCCUACUGAGAGAGGAGACAUGGCAGAAGACACUUUGUAGCAAUGUGAACCGGUGCUUGCAAGUCUGGUCAAACUAGAAGUUGUAGCUGAGUCCAGCUGUUUCUCCGAAAGCACAGGAUCAAGUGCUGUGUUAGCACAGAUACAAAAGUCUGAAAAACUGUUUACAGAACUUCCCCGUGUGAGUUUGGUUUGCAAGGAUAUGGCACUUAGGGGACAGGAAACAAGAAUAAAAUAUGUCUCAAGACUGCCCCAUCCCCUAAUUUUUACUUUCAUGAGGAAGUACUAAAGAGGCCCAUGUGAGGCUAUCUUCUUCAAGUUCUGAUACUCCAGAUCUACGAGAGGUUGCAGGUCUGCUCUAUCACAGCAGCUAGAUCUACAAGGAAGAUGAGUCAGAUGAGGGAGAAUUUUCAGUGGCCUUAGGCCAGUGAGUACUUGAUGUCACUUUUCCUGGAGUGGGGGUGAACAGAACUGAGUUACUAAUUGGUGUCAUGGACUACAAGGCCCACAAGGUAGUAGUGUUGCCAAGAAUGGGGAUGGCUCAGUCAGUUAGUUGAAGAGCCAGAACUGUCAGGUUUUGAAGGACCAAGGUGUGUCCCUGGAAUGUACCAGAUGUUAAGUAUCCAUACUUUCAACUUCUCUGUGAAGGGUGAUUACAUGAUUUAGAUAAACCUCAUUUGUUGAGAGUGUUAUUGGCUAGAUUACAAUAAAUUCUAAAGGCCAUGAACAAAUUGAUGGGUGUGAAAUCAGGGCUGCAUGGGUUGACGGGUCUAAACCACAAGCCAUCUGAGCUAUGGCAGUCAAGAGGAACAUGAAAACUGAUAGCUGAUGGAAUAGUCUGGUUUGUCAGUGAAAUUCAUUCUUUCCAGGCCUUUGUGUAACCAGCUCUGACUGUAGCUGCAGCAGGAUCUCCAUGCAUGCCAGGGAACCAGUCUGGGUUCUGAAGUUUGGCCUUGAUUCCUUGAUUUGUCUUAGCAUCUCUCCUGGAGCUAUGAUGGCUAUUGGUUUGUUACUGAUGCUACAGGAGCUUUCCAGGGACUCAGCAAGGAACAUUGAGAAAUAGAGGGAAGAAAUGGUGUAAGAGCCAGAGGAUGAGAAGCCUGCAGUGAAAUAGAGCUUCCUAUAUAUGACAGGGAAGCUGCACCAAUGAGAACGUUACAGUGGCUGCCUGACCAACACCUGAACAAUGGCAACACCAAGUGACUUGCCAAUGUGGAUUUAGGAAAUCGCAUGGACCUCUACCCCAAGAGCUUUUCUCUGUGUAUAAAAUCUGGUUGUCCUGGAACUCACCAUGUAGACCCAGGAUAUCCUUGAGCUUAGAGAUCGACCUGUUCUUCCUAAAGGUUGUUAUCAAAGGCCACUCUGUUGCUGCUCUCAAUUUAUAAAACGAGAGGCAUUUGGACCAGGCUACUGUCUGUGCUCAAGAAGCAUUUGUUAAGGGGGAGAUAGCGCCGUCGUGAAAGUAAAACGCCUACUUGGAGAAAGUCCCAUAACUUCGUGGCCGAGAGAGCUUCUUAAAACCAACACAGAGAAAGAAAAAACAAAUGAUAAUAAUCUAGAAGACCGGAAAGAAAGGAAAAAAGCCCUAGACAUCUAGCAGAACAUGUCCAACUUGAUACCUCAGCACAUUUAUCUAGAGCCCUCAUUGACCUGGAUGAAGUAGAAAAGACUGAAUUGGAAGCUCGGUGCUCAAUGACUCUGUCCAUGUAGAUAAAUCAUCUCCUGUCAGUAGAAUGCAAGGCCCAUAGAAGAAACAAACAUUUACCUGGCCUAUUGUUCUUUACAUUGUGUUUCAGCCUCAGGAAGACUCAGGUGGAAUGGUGUUUAGACAUAAAUCUGUCUACAUGGCCUCCUUCUGCCAUUACCUGUCUAUUAUGCACAAUAAAAAUGUAACA